rnacentral:rRNA from 1 species
UGGGGAAUAUUGCACAAUGGAGGGAACUCUGAUGUAGCGACGCCGCGUGAACGAAGAAGGCUUUCGAGUCGUAAAGUUCUUUUAUAUGGGAAGAUAAUGACGGUACCAUAAGAAAAAGCCCCGGCUAACUACGUGCCAGCAGCCGCGGUAAUACGUAGGGGGCUAGCGUUGUCCGGAAUCACUGGGCGUAAAGGGUUCGCAGGCGGAAAUGCAAGUCAGGUGUAAAAGGCAGUAGCUUAACUACUGUAAGCAUUUGAAACUGCAUAUCUUGAGAAGAGUAGAAGUAAGUGGAAUUUUUAGUGUAGCGGUGAAAUGGGUAGAUAUUAAAAAGAAUACCGGUGGCGAAGGCGACUUACUGGGCUCAUUCUGACGCUGAGGAACGAAAGCGUGGGUAGCAAACAGG